rnacentral:rRNA from 1 species
AUUGAACGCUGGCGGCAGGCCUAACACAUGCAAGUCGAGCGAGUGGCGGACGGGUGAGUAAUGCCUGGGAAACUGCCUGAAGGAGGGGGAUAACCACUGGAAACGGUAGCUAAUAACGCAUACCAUCAGACGUGCCCAGAGGGGUUUAGCUAGUAGGUGGGGUAACGGCUCACCAAGGCGACGAUCUGUAGCGGGUCUGAGAGGAUGAUCAGCCACACUGGAACUGAGACACGGCCCAGACUCCUACGGGAGGCAGCAGUGGGGAAUAUUGGGCAAUGGAGGGAACCCUGAUCCAGCCAUGCCGCGUGUGUGAAGAAGGUCUUAGGGUUGUAAAGCACUGUAAUCGGGGAGGCGUUACUCACAGAAUAAGCACCGGCUAACUCUGUGCCAGCAGCCGCGGUAAUAC